rnacentral:tRNA from 1 species
UCACUAAGAAGCUAGUAGCAUUAACCUUUUAAGUUAAAGAAAGGAAGUUCCAAUUUCCCUUAGUGCAA